AGAUGUCGCCCCACAAGUUUUUCGUUUCAAGUCGCCCAUUUCGGUGGACGACAUUUUGUAUUGAAAAGCCAACGAGUAAAGAGCAAAUAAUAAAUACGAGCUAGCAGGAAGUUGUGAAAAAAAUCAAGUGGAAUUAGAAAAGAAGAAAAUCAAUUUAUUUUAUUGAAUUCAUCCGAAAAAAAACUGAACAAUGAAGUUCCAAUACAAGGAGGAUCAUCCCUUUGAGAAGAGACGUGCUGAGGGUGACAAAAUACGCAGAAAGUACCCAGAUCGAGUACCAGUUAUUGUGGAGAAGGCGCCCAAAGCACGCAUUGGCGAUUUGGAUAAAAAGAAAUAUUUGGUACCAUCUGACUUAACAGUUGGCCAAUUCUAUUUUUUGAUUCGUAAGCGUAUACAUUUGCGCCCGGAAGACGCACUCUUCUUUUUUGUCAACAAUGUAAUUCCACCAACAUCGGCAACAAUGGGAUCUCUUUAUCAGGAACAUCAUGAGGAGGACUAUUUCCUGUACAUCGCCUAUUCCGAUGAAAAUGUUUAUGGCAAAAAUUAGGGCGCAUUUACCUAUGGGAGGACGGACAAGUUGGCAGAGCAGCAUAUGUGAAGAGAUUACUGUAUUGCAAAGGAAAACAAAAAGAAACAUUUGAAAAUUUUAUGUGGAUACACAUAUGCUAUAAUGAUUUAAAUACUUUGGGGUGUAUGAAGAAAAUUUUAGUUUAGAUAACUCGAUGGAAAAAUCAGAAUUGAUGAAAUUCUCUUCAGCAAGAUAUGCGACAGAAAAUUUAAUAAAUUUCAAAUAUGAAUACAACAAAGUAUAAUAAAAUCAAUAUAAUAUGCUAUAUGUAUAUAAAUAUAUAUUCAAUAAAUAUAUAUUAUAUAUAUGUACUAAUUUACGAAUGUAGCUCUAAAUAUUAGUUAUAAAUGUUUUAAGCCGAUUAAAUUUACAUUUUAUGCGGCAUCUUUUGUCUACACUAUCAUUGAUUUAGCCUUUUCUGUUUUAAUUGGAAAAUUAAUUUUUAAACUCGAAAUUCCACCUUUUCUUGUGUAAAACAUUGUUGAAUUGAAUCGGCCUUAUCGGGAACUCCGUGUGAACAAUUUUCCCCAAAAAUUAUAAAAUAAAACAAGAACAACUUUUCCCAAUUUGUUUUUGUUUUGCUUGUAAAAUCUUGUGAAAAAUUUAUUUACAUGGAAUUGGCGAUAGAGCUGAAUGUUUUUUCUUAAUCUCUUGCACGUACAUAUAAGUUCGUUUCUAUUUUGGUAUUUUGGCUU